rnacentral:rRNA from 1 species
CUGCGGCGGCCACCGCUAUAGGAAUUCGAUUAAGACAUGCGAGUCGAGAGUCGUAAUGGACUCGGCGAACUGCUCAGUAACACGUGGAUAACGUGCCUUAAGUGGAGAAUAAUCUCGGGAAACUGAGGAUAAUACUCCAUAGAUUAUGGAAUCUGGAAUGAUCCAUAGUCGAAAGUUCCGGCGCUUAAGGAUCGGUCUGCGGCCUAUCAGGUCGUAGUGGGUGUAACGUACCUACUAGCCUAUGACGGGUAUGGGCCUUGAGAGAGGGAGCCCAGAGUUGGAUUCUGAGACACGAAUCCAGGCCCUACGGGGCGCAGCAGUCGCGAAAACUUCACAAUGGGGGCAACCCCGAUGAGGGAAUUCCUAGUGCUAGCACAAUUGUGUUAGCUUUUCUCUAGCGUAGAUAACUGGAGGAAUAAGGGCUGGGAAAGACGGGUGCCAGCCGCCGCGGUAAUACCUGCAGCCCAAGUGGUGGUCGAUUUUAUUGAGUCUAAAACGUUCGUAGCCGGUUCGAUAAAUCUUUGGGUAAAUCGGGGGGCUUAACCUUCCGUCUUCCGAGGAGACUGUCGAACUUGGGACCGGGAGAGGCUAGAGGUACUUCUGGGGUAGGGGUAAAAUCCUGUAAUCCUAGAAGGACCACCGGUGGCGAAGGCGUCUAGCUAGAACGGAUCCGACGGUGAGGGACGAAGCCCUGGGUCGCAAACGGGAUUAGAUACCCCGGUAGUCCAGGGUGUAAACGCUGCAGACUUGGUGUUGGGAACCCUUCGGGGGUGCUCAGUGCCGGAGAGAAGUUGUUAAGUCUGCUACUUGGGGAGUACGUCCGCAAGGAUGAAACUUAAAGGAAUUGGCGGGGGAGCAC